CAGUAGGGAAUCUUCCACAAUGGACGCAAGUCUGAUGGAGCAACGCCGCGUGAGUGAAGAAGGUCUUCGGAUCGUAAAACUCUGUUGUUAGAGAAGAACACGAGUGAGAGUAACUGUUCAUUCGAUGACGGUAUCUAACCAGCAAGUCACGGCUAACUACGUACCAG
rnacentral:rRNA from 1 species